rnacentral:lncRNA from 15 species
CCCUGCCCUUGCUCCAGUUACAAUUAAGCAAGCUCAAUAGCCGACAGACCUGGGUAAAAUGUCUCCUUUCCGGGGGCAGCCUGGUAGGUCAUCUGGUAGUUAGCUAGUUAGCGGAUGUUUUGCUAACAUUAGCUAACUUAAGAUGUGACCACAUAUAUGUCGCUUUUAUCGCUAAUCUAUGUUGGAAACAUAACCACAUUUUCAAAAUGGUUAAAAGAUAAAAGAGACUUACAGUCACAUCUUCAAUUGGCUAAUGUUAGCAACAUGCUAGCUGGCUAAAGGUUGAUGUAGCUGAUUUAAAUCGCUGAUUCGUUAGCUGUCUUGACUUUUGCUUACAUUAGCUGUCAGAUGUAACUAGCUACCUAUCGAAUGUUUGCUGCGCUAGUUAGCUAGCAUUUUUGUUUUGGACAAAUCGCUAGCUAACUAGCCAGCUAACUAGCUAGCUAACAAUUGAUGUAGAUUAGAUAGUUAGCUACCACGUUGCUUACAUAAGCUAACUUGAGAUGAUUAUGUUUAAAGGCAACCACACUUUAUAGAUCUUUAAAAGAUAAAAGCAACACAAAAGCUAAUUAGCCAGGUAGCAUUUGUUUACGUUCACUGACAGCUCCAUCACAGCAAUGGAAGUCACAACGAGGAUGACAAAGUGAAAAGAGAAUCCUUCAUAAAGUUAUUCUUAAUGUUGUUUGUUAAAAGUAAAGCUGCUUUUUGUUUGUUGUUGUUUACAAGUCUCAGUAAACACAACUGACGCUAACUGAACUUGUCAACACACUCACGUUGUGGGGACAAACAGUAAUAUAUAUAUAAAAGUAAUUAACUUCCUGCAGUAGUACCCGAUGUGUGUUGUAAAGGUCAGAGGUCACAGCCUGGCUCAGGUUUCUGCAACCUGCACAGGUUUUUCUCUGUAUGUUAAAUGUUCUGGCUGACUUUGAACGCAGCACCGCGGGGAGAAACCAGAUCCAUCAGCCGGGUCUCAGCGCUGCUUUGAAGUGACACUGCUGGGCGUAAAUGUCACUGCUGGCCAGAGGUGGUGGGGGGGUCCUGUCUUAAUAAUUGAACAGGAAAGACCACGAAUAUCACCCACACUUCCUCUGAGGCGGGGGGGUCGGUUACAUAUUACUCAGCAGAAAGAAGGGGGAGGGGAAUCAAUGGCCGCUACAGCCAGACUCCAUUAACCAAACCAGUGAUUUUACCAGACACACAAACAUUUACAGUCUUUCCCAGCAGCGCCGAGUCGCUGUCAGCGAGUCAGGACUAAAAUACUGCACUGACCAAAACCGUCUAUACUAUUGUCAACAAAUAUCGACUGAGUUAGUACAACAGUAGUUGUUGUUUGUUCCACUAACAGUAGUUGUUUGUUCCACUAACAGUAGUUGUUUGUUCCACUAACAGUAGUAGUUGUUUGUUCCACUAACAGUUGUUGUGUUGUUCCACUAACAGUAGUUGUUGUUUGUUCCACUAACAGUAGUAGUUGUUUGUUCCACUAACAGUUGUUGUUUGUUCCACUAACAGUAGUUGUUGUUUGUUCCACUAACAGUUGUUGUUGUUUGUUCCACUGACAGUAGUUGUUGUUUGUUCCACUAACAGUAGUAGUUGUUUGUUCCACUAACAGUAGUUGUUUGUUCCACUAACAGUAGUAGUUGUUUGUUCCACUAACAGUUGUUGUUGUUUGUUCCACUGACAGUAGUAGUUGUUUGUUCCACUAACAGUAGUUGUUGUUUGUUCCACUAACAGUAGUUGUUGUUUGUUCCACUAACAGUUGUUGUUGUUUGUUCCACUGACAGUAGUUGUUGUUUGUUCCACUAACAGUAGUAGUUGUUUGUUCCACUAACAGUUGUUGUUUGUUCCACUAACAGUAGUUGUUGUUUGUUCAACUAACAGUAGUUGUUGUUUGUUCCACUAACAGUUGUUGUUGUUUGUUCCACUGACAGUAGUAGUUGUUUGUUCCACUAACAGUAGUUGUUUGUUCCACUAACAGUAGUAGUUGUUUGUUCCACUAACAGUAGUAGUUGUUUGUUCCACUAACAGUUGUUGUUUGUUCCACUAACAGUAGUUGUUGUUUGUUCCACUAACAGUUGUUGUUUGUUCCACUAACAGUAGUAGUUGUUUGUUCCACUAACAGUUGUUGUUUGUUCCACUAACAGUAGUUGUUGUUUGUUCAACUAACAGUAGUUGUUGUUUGUUCCACUAACAGUAGUUGUUUGUUCCACUAACAGUAGUUGUUUGUUCCACUAACAGUAGUAGUUGUUUGUUCCACUAACAGUAGUUGUUUGUUCCACUAACAGUAGUUGUUGUUUGUUCCACUAACAGUAGUUGUUUGUUCCACUAACAGUAGUAGUUGUUUGUUCCACUAACAGUAGUUGUUUGUUCCACUAACAGUUGUUGUUGUUUGUUCCACUGACAGUAGUUGUUGUUUGUUCCACUAACAGUAGUAGUUGUUUGUUCCACUAACAGUUGUUGUUUGUUCCACUAACAGUAGUUGUUGUUUGUUCCACUAACAGUAGUAGUUGUUUGUUCCACUAACAGUUGUUGUUUGUUCCACUAACAGUAGUUGUUGUUUGUUCAACUAACAGUAGUUGUUGUUUGUUCCACUAACAGUUGUUGUUGUUUGUUCCACUGACAGUAGUAGUUGUUUGUUCCACUAACAGUAGUAGUUGUUUGUUCCACUAACAGUAGUUGUUGUUUGUUCCACUAACAGUAGUUGUUGUUUGUUCAACUAACAGUAGUUGUUGUUGUUCCACUAACAGUUGUUGUGU